UCCGUAGGGAGCAAGCGUUGUUCGGAUUUACUGGGCGUAAAGGGCGCGUAGGCGGCGCGGUAAGUCACUUGUGAAAUCUCUGAGCUUAACUCAGAACGGCCAAGUGAUACUGCAGUGCUAGAGUGCAGAAGGGGCAAUCGGAAUUCUUGGUGUAGCGGUGAAAUGCGUAGAUAUCAAGAGGAACACCUGAGGUGAAGACGGGUUGCUGGGCUGACACUGACGCUGAGGCGCGAAAGCCAGGGGAGCAAACGGG
rnacentral:rRNA from 1 species